UACGUAGGGUGCGAGCGUUGUCCGGAAUUACUGGGCGUAAAGAGCUCGUAGGUGGUUUGGCGCGUUGUUCGUGAAAACUCACAGCUCAACUGUGGGCGUGCGGGCGAUACGGGCAGACUGGAGUACUGCAGGGGAGACUGGAAUUCCUGGUGUAGCGGUGGAAUGCGCAGAUAUCAGGAGGAACACCGGUGGCGAAGGCGGGUCUCUGGGCCGAUACUGACGCUGAGGAGCGAAAGCGUGGGGAGCAAACAGG
rnacentral:rRNA from 1 species